rnacentral:rRNA from 1 species
GAUGAACGCUGGCGGCGUGCCUAAUACAUGCAAGUCGAGCGAACAGACGAGGAGCUUGCUCCUCUGACGUUAGCGGCGGACGGGUGAGUAACACGUGGAUAACCUACCUAUAAGACUGGGAUAACUUCGGGAAACCGGAGAUAAUACCGGCUCAUAUAUUGAACCGCAUGGUUCAAUAGUGGAAGACGGUUUUGCUGUCACUUAUAGAUGGUUCCGCGCCGCAUUAGCUAGUUGGUAAGGUAACGGCUUACCAAGGCAACGAUGCGUAGCCGACCUGAGAGGAUGAUCAGCCACACUGGAACUGAGACACGGUCCAGACUCCUACGGGAGGCAGCAGUAGGGAAUCUUCCGCAAUGGGCGAAAGCCUGACGGAGCAACGCCGCGUGAGUGAUGAAGGUCUUCGGAUCGUAAAACUCUGUUAUUAGGGAAGAACAAAUGUGUAAGUAACUAUGCACGUCUUGACGGUACCUAAUCAGAAAGCCACGGCUAACUACGUG